UGGCAGGACCUUUCUGCACAGAGGAGCUGGUAUCUGCAGAGUUGGAGGAGAUACCAAACCAGGCUUGGAAGGAAAAGGAGGCUGACCUGGCUGCAAAGAGGAAGGGAUGCGGGAGGGUAUUCUGGGCAGAUGCUGGAGAAGCUGGAGAGUGCAGCAGCUGCCCCGAGCCCCGUGCUUGGCAACAUUCCCCCCAACGAUGGGAUGCCGGGAGGCCCCAUCCCGCCAGGUUUCUUUCAGCCUUUUAUGUCACCGCGAUACGCAGGCGGCCCCAGGCCCCCGAUCAGAAUGGGAAACCAGCCUCCGGGAGGAGUUCCUGGGACACAGCCAUUGCUGCCCAAUUCUAUGGAUCCCACACGACAACAAGGCCACCCCAACAUGGGAGGAUCAAUGCAGAGAAUGAACCCUCCCCGAGGCAUGGGGCCCAUGGGUCCCGGCCCACAGAAUUACGGCAGCGGCAUGAGACCACCACCCAACUCCCUCGGCCCCGCCAUGCCCGGGAUUAACAUGUAAGGCAAAAACGACCCGGCCCGUGGCUCAGAGUCCAGGUCUUCC
rnacentral:sRNA from 1 species